CCUACCGCCACCCCGCCUGGGUCACGAUCUCCUCUCGGCCUACCCCAGCCCCCUUGGGGGAGGCGCCCCCUCCCCAGGCACGCCUUUCCCCGCCUCAGCGCCUCCCUAAUCCUGUUCUGCCCUGCCAACCUCAACCUGGGGCGGGCCGGCGUCGGGCCCCCAAGCUGGCAUUCCAGGGCGGGUGCGUCCGGGUGCGACCGGGGACGGCGUGGGAGCGGUUUGCGUUCCAAGUCCGAGCCUUUAUCAGCAGGCGACCUGGGCCCGGGCACUUUUUGAAAAUACUAACAACUACUACCGACUGGACUCUCGCCAGGGGCCGGGCUCUAUGCCAAGCCCCGUUAAAAGGACUGGCCCUUGCUCCCACUUUACCGACGGACGACCUGAGGUUUAGAGAAAGGAAGUCGUGGCCUCCGAGUCUCACGCUGGAGGUGAGCAGGAUCCGGCUGCAAGCCCUGAAUCACAAGCCUGAUACUGCCCCAGCUUGCCUGGACUGGCCCCUGGAGAAGUGGCCUUGGCCAGCCAGCUGUUGGGGCUGUGUUCAGCAGGCUGCCUGAGGUGAGGGAGGAGGCGUGGGUUGAUGAGGCGGGUAGCAGGAGGGGGGGCUGCUGGCCUGAGCCCCAGAAGCUGGUUUUCUUCCUUAAGAAGUGACUCAGAAUUAAGAAGGGCUGCAAAGAUCUCCAGAUGGCUGUGGUGCCCUGACCUGCAUCCCAGCCCUCUGCACUCCCAGACCCCAGGGGCCAGCCUCAGGCAGGUUUCCUACUUAUGACCGGGACCAUUCACCUUGCAGCUGACAAAGCUCUUUAACUCCCAUUAUCUCAUUGGCAUCUCACAAGGACGCCAUUAUGGGGAAGGUAUGAUUAUGCCGGUUUUGCAUGGGUGGAGUUAGGGUGGGGAGCUGGAUCCCAGCCCAGCACGGUGGUUCCCAAAGCAUGGUCCUUAGACCUCCAGCAACAGCAUUGGUGUCUGGGAAUUUGUUAGCCAUGCGUGUUUGGGAGCCCCAUCCCAGGCCUACUGAAUGAGAAACUCUGGGAGAAGACCCUAGCAGUUUGUUUUAACAAGGCCUCCAGGUGAUUUUGAAUCACAAGCAAGUUGGAGAAUCACCAUUGAGCACACUGGUGAAGAAAUUAGGGUGCUCUGAGAGUCCCAAAGGCCUGGUAGCAUCCUGAGAGCCUUGCGACCCAAGGCAAGGAGUCAGACUUUGUCAUGGUUUACCCUGGGCAUCUUGCAAAGGCAGCCUCUAGGGAGAGACGACUUCCUUCUUUUGUGAAAUUCUUCGGUCCAUUCCGGAGGUGAAGCCAGGAGUUUGGGAGGUGGGAACAGGGGCAGGAAGAACUACUCUAGAAAGACAAGAGGAGGUAUCAAAUGGCCAACGUGGAGGUAGGGGAGAUGGUGGCUUGGCAAGACCUUCAAAGGGUAUGUCUAUGGGGUUCCCAGCCUCUCAGAAGAUUCCCCCACCCCAGAGUUGGCACAGGAGCUUCAGAGGAGGAGGCCUGAAGGUCCUCGUGGUCAUUUAUUUAGCCCCCAAAUCUGCGAUUCGGGGCGGGUUCACUGGGGGGAAGGCUUGUCUCUGUUCUGUGCACUAUCAGCUGGUUCAGUUGGAAGUGGAGGACCCUUAACAAGAUGGCGCACUCACAUGGCUAGCCAGUUGGUGCUAUGUGGACCAAGGCCUCAGUUCCUCUCCAUGAGGCCCCUCUGCAGGCUGCUGGGGCUUCCUCACUGCAAGACAGCUGGGUUUCAAGAGCAAACAGAGAACAAGGUGGAAGCACGUGGCAGUUUAUGACCUAGCCUCGGAAGUCAUGUGGCAUCACUUCCUUUGUAUUCGAUCAGUGCACAAAGACACCAUGGUUCAAGGGAAUGAGAGACAUAGCCUCCCUCUGCCGAUGAGGGGGUGGCAAAGUUCUAGAAGAGAUUGCAGAACGGAAGAUACCGUCGCAGCCAUCUCUGGAAAAUACAAUCUGCACCAAGCGGGUCCUCAGAAUAAGUGGAGAAAAAUUUCCUCUGGUGGGAACUGAGUGUCUGACUUAGCCGAUUUAAAAGGAAAAGGUAUAUGAUGUUCCUUGCACAGCCCUCCGUGCAAUCUGCGCACAAGAAUACGAAUAGGAAGUCCGGUGGACAAUGAGUCUGGUGCCCUUGGGUUAUUUAGGAUUUUCCUUCUUCAGAGAGUCCUCAGAAUAAAGACCUCUCUCCUCACCACCUAUACUGUUUCUUUGAAGCUGUACAUUUAAAUACUACUCAUUUGAUCCUCUUAAUAAUGACCCCUAUGAGCUACAUACUAUCUAUUGUGAUGCCCAUUUCCAAGAUGUGCAAAUGGAGGCCCUGAGAAGGCAGCAGCUCAACCCUGUGGCAGGGGCCGGACACCCCAAACAGUCUUGGGUCCACACCCCAACAUAUGUUAGUCUAUUUAUUUAUCAUUGAGACAUACGUACUAUUUUGCUAGCCAAGCUGCAUCGUUUGAACGAGGCACAAAAACAAAAUUUAAAAAUAGGAGGCAAAGAUUGUGUAAAAGUUUCAAUGUAUGCAAAAAUGAAAAUAAUUAUAAAGCA